rnacentral:rRNA from 1 species
UACGGGGGGGGCAAGCGUUGUUCGGAAUUACUGGGCGUAAAGGGCUCGUAGGCGGCCAACUAAGUCAGACGUGAAAUCCCUCGGCUUAACCGGGGAACUGCGUCUGAUACUGGAUGGCUUGAGAUUGGGAGAGGGAUGCGGAAUUCCAGGUGUAGCGGUGAAAUGCGUAGAUAUCUGGAGGAACACCGGUGGCGAAGGCGGCAUCCUGGACCAAUACUGACACUGAGGAGCGAAAGCCAGGGGAGCAAACGGG